AGCUUGUUUGCCUUUGUUCUUUGCCAGACUUUUGUAUGUGUUUUCUCAGCUUUUCAUUCUAGCAUGCUUGGAUGCUUGUGGUUUCAUAAUGUUUGGAUUACUACCUGUUUUGGAAUUUCUGCUCAACAUUGAACUCUGCCUGGAUUUUUGGACUAUGAUUUUGUUGGUUCCACAUUGGACUAGUUGCCUUGUUUGGAUUGCUUGUCUAUUUUUGACCCCUGCUUGUUCCUGACUUUGCCUGCUGUUUUCUCUGCCUGGUGUUGCCUGCCCAGACUCUGAAGGUUCGCACAUUGGACCAAUGGUCUAUCCAGUGACGACAAGGGAUCGUGGCAUCUGGAGGUUGUUACCAUGCCCUGAAGUGCCCCAGUCUUCCUGGUAAGUCAAAAGCUGGAGACAUGGGAGACAGUAACAAUGCUAUCACCUGGACAGUCUAAAUAAUACCUGCUUGAUGAGAACUACUUCUCCUUCUUCCUGUCAUAGUCAUGUGAACUGCUGCUCUGUAAAUGCAUGAACCACCACAAAGUAAGGAAAAACGUGUCUCGGCAACAGAGCGGAUGUCUUAUGCAGUUGCUGGAUGGAGGGACAUAAACAACCAAGAUGGCAUGUAAAGGGUCCCUGCAUGUAUGUAGUCUGGACGUGGUCCCGCCACCAGCAAUUUAGUAUCUGGGCUGCAGAAACAUCCCUUCAGAGUAUGUGAGCAGGGUGGCACCAUUUGUUGUUAAUGAAAGUGACAAGCCCUUAAAGAUACACCCUAUAUCUCCUGUCCUACAUCAAUCUCUGCUGUCUGGGCCCAUCUCUUUUCCCUUGUUCUUUUGCACAGAAUAUUGGUAUCUGUAUUGGCGUCAGCGAUACCAGCCUGGAUUUUACUUGGCAUUGGAUCAGAAAGGAAAUAAGUGGUAUCGCACAUCACUACUGAGGUCUCUGUUUUACUGAAACAGGGCAUAGAGGCAAAAGCAACCCUAAACUCAAGGCAAAGGUGCAUAUGGUUGUGUCCAGCAGUUUUCUGCAGUGUUGAUGACCACUGGCAUUUCCACAUACUUGGGCACAGGCUGCACUAUGGAAGCUGUUAAACUUGUUUGUGAGGUGCAGAGUCACCAUGAACACAUCUAUGGAAAUACAGUCUACAGUAUGAAAUGUGGUGACAAAAUAUUCUUUCCCCAUAUCUUCCUCUCUUACCAAUGAUGUACUCCAUUCCUAAAUUGUGAUGAGGAAAAUAUGUAUCGUACAAGUACUGCACAUAAAUAUUCACCCGGUAAUCAGCUUUUGUGCACAGAAGAAAGAAAGACUCUGGUCUAAUAACCAGCAGCAAUUAUAUAGCCUAAUUUACUCACAGCUGCAUCCUAUAAGAACAGAUGGUGCUUCAUGAUGUGCACCAACCCUUUUUAACUGUAUUCAUAUCAAUGGCCGCAUACUGAGGACUAGUUUAUUCAUCCUUUUUGAAAAUAAUUGUUUUAUAUUAUCACACAUUUAAUAAUUCAGAAAAUUUCAGAGUUUUUCACAGUGAAGUCUUGCAGAUCAGUUGUAGAUUCAAGGGUUAAUUUUAAGUUGGUAUGGUUGGUUAAAAUAAAUUAAGGUGCCUGCUCUCGUGCUUCCCACCCUAUGCUGUUUUUAAGAAAAUUGCCAUGCAACAGCAUUUGUGAUAAAAGGUGGUCUGAGUAGGCUUUAAAGCAAACACAAUUCCUGUUCAAAAUGAGCACCAGUCUCAACUGCUCCUCUCCUCCCACCUCAUUUUAAGUAUAUUCAUUUGUGGCAGGAAGAUACCAAACAUACAAAUGCACAUUUAAAGACCACAUCUGUAGCAACAUCAGCGUUGCAUUGGCUGGACAUUUUUAGGUUUCUUAAAGUUCUAAUUUUAAAGAUUUGAAUCCUGAGUAGCUUGUGAUACAUUAGUGGUUACGUGAUAUAAAGGCAAUCAAUAUAACAUGCAUCAUAGAUUUUGCAUACAGCGUUUCAUUUAGUGUGUACUUACUGUGCAUGUGUUUUAAAGCUCAAACAUCUCUGAGGACUCAUCAAAUCUUUGCUUUGAGUAAAGAUGGUCAACAGUGUCAUUCAGCACUGAAACACUUGACAGUUAAUUGUACAUUGUGUUCCGGGGCGUGUUAAAUGUGUGCACGCACCGACUUUGGUCUUCUGCAUCAUAUCCACUAUGUAUGCAUUCAUGAUUUUCCUGUGUACAUGGUAAAUUUGAGUUCUGUGCCACAACAGAGUUCAUCAGUAAAAGAGCAAUUAUACUGAAUCAUUAUUUCUGAAAAUAUAUUGUUCACAAAUAGGAUGUAAUGAAUUUUGAAAUAACAAUUUAUGGAUUCAUUUUAUGUCAGAGUAUGUGGGUGGCAAGUACUAUCUUGAACACAUGCACACAUUCUGAUAGGAAAAACUCCUCACUUCAUCCAAGGGCACUUUUGAACUGCAGUCCUUCCAAGGUGUCAUUAGUUCAGCUUUUCCUUUGUGCUACAUGUAUAUCUAGCAUGAUAGCUGUUGAGACAGAAUCAUUACCUGUAACAGCUGGCCCUAUAUCUAAAGAGUGUACCGUGGUCUCUGAAGGGUGGCACACCUUGCUCAAACAAAUCAAGUAUAUUUUGUUGUUUUAAUGGCCACUACAUUAGGAAGAAAAUCACCUCAGGUUUUUUAGAGCUGAAUCUCAAAUUAACUUCGACCAGUCUUUUUCCUGGUGCUUACUAAUAACAACUAGAGAUGCACAUCAUUAAUUCAUGAGUGGUGGGGGUGGCAGUUGAGAUGUUUUGAUGCCUCAGAGGAUGGUAAUUAAACACGGCUGUUUCCAUGCAGUAAAGUACGCUUGCACUGUGGUGUCAUGGGAGAUGAAAUGUGUCUGUUGAUGCUCAUAAGAGCCCAGUAAAUUAAUGCAGCCCUGAGA